CGUUUGACCUCGGAUCAGGUAGGGAUACCCGCUGAACUUAAGCAUAUCAAUAAGCGGAGGAAAAGAAACCAACAGGGAUUGCCCUAGUAACGGCGAGUGAAGCGGCAACAGCUCAAAUUUGAAAUCUGGCUCUUUUAGAGUCCGAGUUGUAAUUUGCAGAGGGCGCUUUGGCUUUGGCAGCGGUCCAAGUUCCUUGGAACAGGACGUCACAGAGGGUGAGAAUCCCGUACGUGGUCGCUAGCUAUUGCCGUGUAAAGCCCCUUCGACGAGUCGAGUUGUUUGGGAAUGCAGCUCUAAAUGGGAGGUAAAUUUCUUCUAAAGCUAAAUAUUGGCCAGAGACCGAUAGCGCACAAGUAGAGUGAUCGAAAGAUGAAAAGCACUUUGGAAAGAGAGUCAAACAGCACGUGAAAUUGUUGAAAGGGAAGCGCUUGCAGCCAGACUUGCUUGCAGUUGCUCAUCCGGGCUUUUGCCCGGUGCACUCUUCUGCAGGCAGGCCAGCAUCAGUUUGGGCGGUGGGAUAAAGGUCUCUGACACGUUCCUUCCUUCGGGUUGGCCAUAUAGGGGAGACGUCAUACCACCAGCCUGGACUGAGGUCCGCGCAUCUGCUAGGAUGCUGGCGUAAUGGCUGUAAGCGGCCCGUCUUGAAACACGGACCAAGGAGUCUAACAUCUAUGCGAGUGUUUGGGUGUCAAGCCCGAGCGCGUAAUGAAAGUGAACGGAGGUGGGAACCCGCAAGGGUGCACCAUCGACCGAUCCUGAAGUUUACGGAAGGAUUUGAGUAAGAGCAUGGCUGUUGGGACCCGAAAGAUGGUGAACUAUGCUUGAAUAGGGUGAAGCCAGAGGAAACUCUGGUGGAGGCCCGCAGCGGUUCUGACGUGCAAAUCGAUCGUCAAAUUUGGGCAUAGGGGCGAAAGACUAAUCGAACUAUCUAGUAGCUGGUUCCUGCCGAAGUUUCCCUCAGGAUAGCAGUAACGUAUUCAGUUUUUAUGAAGGUAAAGCGAAUGAUUAGA
rnacentral:rRNA from 1 species